rnacentral:snRNA from 1 species
GUGCUCGCUUCAGCAGCACAAAUGCUAAAACUGAAACGUUACAGAGAAGAUCAGCAUGGCCCCUGCGCAAGGAUGACACGCAAAUACAUGAAGCGUUCCAUAAUUUU